UGGGGAAUAUUGGACAAUGGACGAAAGUCUGAUCCAGCAAUACCGCGUGUGUGAAGAAGGCCUGAGGGUUGUAAAGCACUUUCAAUUGGGAGGAAAACAGGCGAAAUUAAUAUCUCGUCUCUUGACAUUACCUUUAGAAGAAGCACCGGCUAACUCCGUGCCAGCAGCCGCGGUAAUACGGAGGGUGCAAGCGUUAAUCGGAAUUACUGGGCGUAAAGCGUGCGUAGGUGGUUUAUUAAGUCAGAUGUGAAAUCCCCGGGCUUAACCUGGGAACUGCAUUUGAAACUGGUAAACUAGAGUAUAGGAGAGGAAAGUGGAAUUUCAGGUGUAGCGGUGAAAUGCGUAGAUAUCUGAAGGAACAUCAAUGGCGAAGGCAGCUUUCUGGACUAAUACUGACACUGAGGUACGAAAGCGUGGGUAGCAAACA
rnacentral:rRNA from 1 species